UAAAGCAAGAAAGGGCGUAUGGGGAAUGCCUAGGCACACUCCGGCGAAGAAGGACGCAGCAAACAGCGAAAUGCGACGGUGAGCGGUAAGCACGUGAAGAGCCGUCGAUAUCCGAAUGGGGGAACCCACACGGAGUCAUAUCCGUGUAUCACAUGUCGAAUACAUAGACAUGAUGAGGCGAGACGCAGGGAACUGAAACAUCUAAGUACCUGCAGGAAGAGAAAAUAAGAAUGAUUUUCUGAGUAGCGGCGAGCGAAAGGGAAAGAGCCCAAACCGAUCUGAGGAUCGGGGUAGUAGGAUCAUCGAGAAAUCUGACAGAGGAUCAUAGAGGAAUCACAUGGGAAGGUGAGCGAGAGAGGGUGAGAGCCCCGUACUCGAAAUGAGAGACUGGAGAGAGAUGACACCUGAGUAGGGCGGGACACGAGAAAUCCUGUCUGAAUCAGCCGGGACCAUCCGGCAAGGCUAAAUACGAGAGAGUGACCGAUAGUGAACCAGUACCGUGAGGGAAAGGUGAAAAGAACCCCGGGAGGGGAGUGAAAGAGAACCUGAAACCAUAUGCCUACAAGAAGUCAGAGCCCGUUAAAGGGUGAUGGCGUGCCUUUUGUAGAAUGAACCGGCGAGUUACUGUAUGGAGCGAGGUUAAGCAGGAUAUGCGGAGCCGAAGCGAAAGCGAGUCUUAAGAGGGCGCGAGUUGCAUGCAGUAGACCCGAAACCGGGUGAUCUAGCCAUGACCAGGUUGAAGUUGGGGUAAAACCCGAUGGAGGACCGAACCGACCCCCGUUGAAACGUUGGCGGAUGAGUUGUGGCUAGGGGUGAAAUUCCAAUCGAACCCGGAGAUAGCUGGUUCUCCCCGAAAUAGCUUUAGGGCUAGCGUCGAGAGAAGAGUUGCGUGAAGGUAGAGCACUGAAUAUGUGAUGGCCCCAUCUCGGGGUACUGAGCAUAAUCAAACUGCGAAUGUCACGCCAACAUGCUCGGCAGUCAGACAGCGGGUGAUAAGGUCCGUUGUCAAGAGGGAAACAGCCCAGACCAUCAGCUAAGGUCCCAAAAUGUAUGCUAAGUGGAAAAGGAUGUGGAGAUGUACAGACAACUAGGAGGUUGGCUCAGAAGCAGCCAUCCUUUAAAGAGUGCGUAACAGCUCACUAGUCGAAUGACUCUGCGCCGAUAAUUUACCGGGGCUAAGCAUACUACCGAAGCUAUGGAUCCCAAGGGAUGGUAGGGGAGCGUUCCAUGAACGGAGAAGUACGACCGAAAGGACGUGUGGAGAUCAUGGAAGAGAGAAUGCCGGUGUGAGUAGCGGAACGUGGGUGAGAAUCCCACGCACCGAAAACCCAAGGUUUCCAGAGGAAGGUUCGUCCGCUCUGGGUAAGUCGGGACCUAAGGCGAGGCCGAAAGGCGUAGUCGAUGGACAACAGGUAGAGAUUCCUGUACCCGUAUAUAUGUGAAGGAAUGACGGAGAGAGGAAGCUGCAGCCAGCGGCUGGAAGAGCUGGUGCAAGCGAGAUAUCGGGAUGGCAGGCAAAUCCACCAUCCGAAACGAGAAGGCGUGAAGCGUACGGAAAGCUACGGCGAGUACGGAAGGCAGUGGAGGAACUUCCAAGAAAAGUUUCUAACGUUAAGUAUAUAUGGCCCGUACCGAAAAUGGACACACAUGGGUGAGGAGAGAAUCCUAAGGUGAGCGAGAGAACUAUAGCUAAGGAACUCUGCAAAAUGACUCCGUAACUUAGGGAGAAGGAGUGCUCAUAGAGAUAUGAGCCGCAGUGAAACGGCCCAAGCGACUGUUUACCAAAAACACAGCUCUCUGCUAAGCCGCAAGGCGAAGUAUAGGGGGUGACGCCUGCCCGGUGCUGGAAGGUUAAGGGGAGGGGUUAACGCAAGUGAAGCCCUGAACUGAAGCCCCAGUAAACGGCGGCCGUAACUAUAACGGUCCUAAGGUAGCGAAAUUCCUUGUCAGGUAAGUUCUGACCCGCACGAAAGGCGUAACGAUUUGGGCGCUGUCUCAGCUGUAGACUCGGUGAAGUCUUAGUACCUGUGAAGAUGCAGGUUACCCGCGACUAGACGGAAAGACCCCAUGGAGCUUCACUGCAGGUUGAUAUUGGGAUUUGAUGCAGCAUGUACAGGAUAGGUAGGAGGCAAAGAGAUGGAUACGCCAGUAUUCAAGGAGCCGCUGUUGGGAUACUACCCCUGUUGUAUUGGAUUUCUAACCGGACGACGUAGAGCCGUUGACGGGACAGUGUCAGUCGGGCAGUUUGACUGGGGCGGUCGCCUCCCAAAGAGUAACGGAGGCGCCCAAAGAUACCCUCAGCUUGGAUGGAAACCAAGCGCAGAGUGCAAAGGCAAAAGGGUGUUUGACUGCGAGACC
rnacentral:rRNA from 1 species